rnacentral:rRNA from 1 species
UACGGAGGGUGCGAGCGUUAAUCGGAAUUACUGGGCGUAAAGGGUGCGUAGGUGGUUUAUUAAGUUAUCUGUGAAAGCCCUGGGCUCAACCUGGGAAGGUCAGAUAAAACUGGUGAACUCGAGUACGGGAGAGGGUAGUGGAAUUUCCGGUGUAGCGGUGAAAUGCGUAGAGAUCGGCAGGAACACCCAGGGGGAAACCAGUCGACUGGGCAUCUACUGACGCUGAGGUGCGAGAGCGUGGGGAGCGAACCGG